GCCGCUGUGGUGGAACUGGCAGACGCGCCUGACUCAAAAUCAGGUGGGGUUAACCCCCGUGACGGUUCAACUCCGUCCAGCGGCA
rfam:Candidate division WOR-1 bacterium RIFOXYB2_FTLL_48_7 rifoxyb2_full_scaffold_2316, whole genome shotgun sequence.